GGCUCAGACAGCCAGGAUGUUGGCUUAGAAGCAGCCAUCAUUUAAAGAAAGCGUAAUAGCUCACUGGUCGAGUCGGUCUGCGCGGAAGAUUUAACGGGGCUAAGCUAUACACCGAAGCUGCGGCAAUGUGACUUGUCAUAUUGGGUAGGGGAGCGUUCUGUAAGCCGUUGAAGGUCAAUCGUAAGGUUGGCUGGAGGUAUCAGAAGUGCGAAUGCUGACAUGAGUAACGAUAAAGGGAGUGAAAAACUCCCUCGCCGGAAGAUCAAGGGUUCCUGUCCAACGUUAAUCGGGGCAGGGUAAGUCGACCCCUAAGGCGAGGCCGAAAGGCGUAGUCGAUGGGAAACGGGUUAAUAUUCCCGUACUGCUUAUAACUGCGAUGGGGGGACGGAGAAGGCUAGGUGGGCUUGGCGACGGUUGUCCAAGUUCAAGGGUGUAGGCUGUAUUCUUAGGCAAAUCCGGGAAUACACUAGGCUGAGACCCGAUGUCGAGUCACUACGGUGAUGAAGCCAUUGAUGCCAUACUUCCGGGAAAAGCCUCUAAGCGAUAGGUUAUAAGUAAUCGUACUCCAAACCGACACAGGUGAUCAGGUAGAGAAUACCAAGGCGCUUGAGAGAACUCGGGUGAAGGAACUAGGCAAAAUGGUACCGUAACUUCGGGAGAAGGUACGCUC
rnacentral:rRNA from 1 species